CCGCUUAUAAUGGCUCUCGGGGCUCCCUCUGAGGUGGACGGCCCGGUACGUUUUCGUAGUCGGUCUAGCGUGAAAUGAUUCGGUGUAACCGGAUUCUUGGGAAAGGACAGGUUACGUAAACAUUUACUGAUGUGGAGUAACUAUACUAUUUGUACUCUGAUAUGCAGGAAGGAAAGUGUUGAUUAACACAGAAGAAAAAAAAAGCGAAAUUAGCUGAUUGCAUGCUCAUAAGUGCAAGCUGUCAUUGAACUGCUUUUAAAAUAGACACAGCUGGGUGUUUGUGUUGAAAAAUUUCUUGUGUUUUUGCUAAUACUGAAAUAAGCAUGAUUUUGUAUACCAAACAUUUUCAGAUCAUUAAAAUUUGUAAUCUGUGCUGGUUUUAAACACAAAGAAAAGAAACAGAAUCAUUUCGAUGUAAAAUUUGCUGAUAUUAUAUUAACUCAAUCAGGUCUGUACAAAUUGUGCAUUGUGUCUCCUAAAAUCUGUUUGAUCAAUUUAAUACACAAAGUGCCAAACGUGGGUAUUGUUUGUUAACAUUGGACAUUUUAUUCCAAUCUGAGCUCAGCAGUGAACUGGAGGAGUGUUCCUUGAAUACAACACCAGCUCUGACUGAUGAAUUUUUAAUGUUUUGAGGUGCUUCUUAGGUUAAAGCUAAGUGUGCAUUGUUUUGUUACCCUGUAGAAGAAAUUAGCAGGCGAAAUAAGGUUUUCUUCUGUUUACUUUCAAAAAGCAAAAACUGGGUUUUGUGAAGUAAGAGCUGCAACAAUCUGAUUUUAUAUGUCAAUGCUUAUAGUGGCCUGGAAAAUGUUUUUGCAUGCAAAUUAAGGAUGUGCUGUGUUAUUUUAAGGUUGCAUGAAUGCAAAUCUCUCAAAAUAGGGCGUUUUACAGUAAAACUAUAGAAUACAGUUUGAUAUAAUAUUAAAACUAGUUUCCUGAUGCAAAGGUUAUUUGUAAUUUCCGAAAAAGUAAGUUUGAAUCCCCUUAAAUAAUUUUAAUUGCUCUUUAUGAUGAGAUGGGACUAUAUAUCAGAAUGCACACAGAUAUAUUUAUAUCAGCCUUCUUCAACAAAAUGUGCACUGUUUACUCAGCGGCUUAUAUUUGUAUCAGCAAUGGUUUCUUUUUAGAUCUGCUGUGAGCUGUAACAGAGGGGGAAGGGGCUUCUGGACAAAGUAUGGUGAAGCUGAAAGUCUCUGGAUGGGGCUUUGUAUAUCCUACCAACCAAUUUGGGUGCAAAUUGGAUUUGAAGUCCUGCCCACGUCCACCAUGGGCCUCUCUCUCAGCACAUAAAGGCCUCCUCAGCCUCUGUGAUUACCUUCAGAAGACAGGGCAGGCAGCCAGUGGUCUCGGACCGGAAACAAAGUCCCCCAUCAGGACAAGUUUCCCUUCUAAUCAAUUUAACCUCACGCUUAUGAAUCUGCAAAUGGGUAGUGUUCGUGAAGUAGUGGAUAUAACAGCAUAUCAGAGCAAAUGCGACUUGUUGGUUUACAUAGUGGUGAACUUGUAGGCCUCAGCUUUCAUUCACCACCCACCCACCCCCAAAAGAGGACAAGAAUUGUAUGGUGAGCAAUUCCAAUGGAAGAGUGUCUUGGGAAAUGAAUUAGAUUAUUUCUUCUAGAUUUUUAAUUAACCUCCAAGACUCCACAGUGUACUUCAUCUGAGCAGGGAGCAGCUCAUUUUCAUUUCCUUUCUGAGGGUGGAUGUUGCAUUUGUCUUCCUUGGGGACAGUUCUUUGCUUUGGGCCUCCUUGCCUUCUAGUAACAAGGGUGGGCCAUAUUAUCUAUCUCCACCUUUCCCUUGGGAGCAGGGACAAACUCUAGCUAAAGUUCUCUUCUUACAAAUGCACAGGACCGUUUGUGACCCCUUGACACGUGGGAGUCAGCAGAUACCAUGCUGAGACAUCCAGGUAUUUUCGAGAGAGUCUGUAACAAAUGAAGUCCGCCCUCCCUAGAGUCAACUUGUCUGUAAUCGCUGCCUAACAGCAGGAGGUAUCACCAUUGCAGAGAGAUUGUCCCCACAACGUCUUUGCUAGUCAACUUGGGAGGUAAAAGUUUGGAGAUGAAAGGAAUCUUAGACAUCAUUCAAUUUAGCACCUCAGGAGAGAGUUUUUAUUAAACAUUACAUGGACACAGAGUGCUACAUAAUAUACCACAGAACCUUCCAGAAGGAGCCGGUGACCAUUAGUACUUUCUCAUCCUUCCAGAAAAAUGUCUCCUUAAACUGUAUUCUCCGAGCCCUGGGACACGCAGCUGCAGUACAGAGAUGCAUCCCCUGGCCACAAUGUGGUUCAGUGGCAACAUGGAGGACUCCUCUCCUGUGGUCUGAUGGGCCAGGCUGUGAUACAAAGAGGCUUCACUCAGUCACUACCUGUGGGCUUGGGAGCACAGCCAUGGACUUAAAAACACAGUCAUACUGCUUAAUACUGCUUCUCAAAAUUGGGGAGCUAAAAUUCAGGUUCAGUUGGAUAUAGUGCUGAGUGCUUGUGAUUCCAUUUACUUUGGAGGCAAAGGUAGAAGGAUCCUUUGGAGCACAAGACUUGGCAGCCAGUCUGAGCAGGAUAACGAGAAUCCAGCUUAAAACCAUGAAGUAUGAAGCAUCUUCCAGUCUAAAUCAAAUUUAUUCUCAGGAGCAAAUGAAAUGAAGAAUCUAAGUGAGGCCUCUAGGCCUGGGAGACAGAAUACCAUGAAGUCUGCUGUGAAACAGUUUCUCCUAGAAAUGGGUGUAUAAACAAGUUUGGAACAACGGCAACACCAAUGGACAUGGUCCAGCUGAGAUCAGAUCUGGCUACACGCUUUUUCCUUUUCUGUGAACUGCUCCCCAUCUGUACUCAGUCAGGAUAGAUUGUUAGGACACUGUUCCUGACUCCCUCCCUCAUUUGUCUACAGGAUAUCAAGCAGAUCUACAAGAGCCUUUAUCACCACCCUAUCCUUUGUCUCAGAUACCAACUCCCACGGGCAUUUCCUGAUAAUGUUCAGUUUAUGAGAGCCAUGGAAACAGGCAUGUCCACCGUGCUUGGCUCUGUUCCCAGUGCGACCUUGAACUCACAGAGAUCCAGAUGGAUCUCUGCCUCCCGAAUGCUAGGAUAAAAGAUGUGUACUACCACUGCCUGACUUCUAUGUUUAAUAUAGUGGCUGGCUUUUUCCUCUGACCCCAGGGUUUAGUGAUUUGCCUGAUUAACCUACAUAUGCAGAUGCAGAAAUGGUUCCAUCUUCGAAAAUAACCAGUGCUUGGGAUCUUUGUGCCAAGUUCCUCCCCACUUCCCUCCCAUCUGGAUCUACUCCCUACUGUCUCUCAUUAGAACAGAACAGGCUUCUAAGAGAUAACAACAAAACAACAAAAUAAAAGAUAGUAAGAUUAAAAGAAAUAUUACUACUCACUCAUAAGUGGAUACUAGAUAUAAGGCAAAGGAUAACCAGACUGCAACCCACAGUUCCAGGGAGGAAGGAGAACCCUAGGAAAGAUGCAUGGAUCGCCCAGUGAUGGACAAAUGGAUGAGAUCUACAUGAGCAAACUGGGGGUGAAGUGGGUAAUGGAAGGCAAGGGACAGGGGAUGAGAGCUUAGGGGAGUGGAAGGUUCAAGCUGGAUCAGGAACAGAGUGGGAGAACAAGGAAUAAAAGACCAUGAUGAAUGAAGACACCAUGGGAAUAGGAAGAAACAGAGUGCUAGGAAGGUUCUCACGAAUCCACAAGGAUGACUCCACAUAGAUGACUGGCAAUAUUCGAGAGGGUGCCUGAGCUGGUAUACUCUGGUGAUUGGAUGGCUGAAUACCCUAACUGUCAUCAUAGAACCCUCAUCCAGUGACUGAUGGAAGCAGAUGCAGAGGUCCAUGGCUGGGUCCCAGGCAGAGCUCCAGGUGUCCAGCCAAUGAGAGAGAGGAGGGAUUCUAUGAGCAAGGGAUAUCAAGACCAUGACUGGAAAAAAUACAGAGACAACUAGCCAAAAUAGUGGAAACGCAUGAACUGUGGACCAAUAGCUGAGGAGCACCCAUGGUACUGGACUAGGCCCUCUGGACAAGUGAGACAGUUGUUUAGCUUGAACUGUAUAGGGGGCCCCCAGGCAGUGGAAUCGCGACCAGUCCCAAGUGCAUGAUCAAGCUUUUUGGAACCUAGUGCCUAUGAGUUCCCUGAGCUAUGAAGAUUUGAUGGAGACAUCCCAUUUAGAGUUGUGUGUCCUGAGGUCUCUCUCUUGGUAUGUCUGGUUGUGUAUUUGUUCCCAUCUGCUUUGGGAGGAAGAUUCUCUGAUGAUGACUGAAUAAGGUACUGACCUAUCAACAUAUAAUAUUGUUAGGAGUCCUGUUAUUGUUACUUUUUGUCAGAACAAUAAUCUUUGGUUUUAUCUUAGGUCUCUGAGGUGUCUAAUCUCUGAUAUUUGGUCAACCCAAGAUGUGUCAUUUAUUGGUUCUAUCUCAUGGAGUGGGGUUUAAGUCAAAUUGUACGUUGGUUGGUUACUCCCAACCAACGUCUGGGUUGCCUCACUCAGGAUGAUUGUUUUUCUAGUUCCAUUCACUUGCCUGCAAAGUUCAUGAUGUCAUUUUUCUUAACAGUUGAGUAAUACUCCAUUGUGUAAAUGUACCACAUUUUAAAAUAUUCAUUCUUAUGUUAAGGUACUUCUAGGUUUUUUCCCAUUUCUGGCUAUUAAGAAUAAAGCCACAGUGAAUAUGGUUGAACAAGUGUUCUCGUGGAGCAUUCUUUGGGUAUAUGCCCGAGUGGUACAGCUGUAUCUUGAGGGAGAUCAAUUCCCAACAUUCUGAAGAACCACUAUAUUGACUUUCAUAGUGGCUGUACAAGUUUGCACCCCCACCAUCAAUGGAGGAGUGUUCCCCUUGCCAGCUUGAGCUGCCACUUGUUUUAUUGAUUUUAGCCAUUCAGACAGGGGUAAGAUGGAAUCUCAAAGUAAUUUUGAUGUGCAUUUCCCCAAUGGCUAAGGAUGUUGAACAUUUCUUUAAGAGUUUCUCAGCUAUUUCAGUUUCCUUUAUUGUAGACAAAUUUCUAAAUUGUCUUAUUAAAUAAAAAACAUGGAGCCAGAAAUUUGAGUUAAAGCCUUAGAGAGAUGAGGGAAAUAUGGAAAGUCACCAGCUAACAUCACCUCAUGAACUCCCCAGCUUCCAAGGAGGGCAACUUCCUGUCUACCCAGGCUUCUAUGCCUUGCUUUUCUGCCCCCUUAAUUGGCUCUUAACCCAGCUACCUUACUUCCUCUUCCUACACAGCUCUUUCACUCUCUGUCUGUAUGGACCUCCAGGUCUCUGUGGUUGGUACUGGGAUUAAAGGCAUGUGUCACGACACUUGGCUCUGUUCCCUAGUGUGGCCUUGAACACACAGAGAUCCUGCCCGCUAAGGGAUUAAGAGCGUGUGCUGCCUGACUUCUUUGUUUACUUAAAAUGGCUGGCCUUUUCCCUCUGAUCUUCAGGCAAGCUUUAUUUAUUAAUGCCCAAAUAAAAUAUAACCACAUUUCAGCACAA